AUAACACUUGGAAACAGGUGCUAAUACCGUAUAACAAUCGAAACCGCAUGGUUUCGUUUUGAAAGGCGCUUUACGGUGCCGCUGAUGGAUGGACCCGCGGUGCAUUAGCUAGUUGGUGAGGUAACGGCUCACCAAGGCCACGAUGCAUAGCCGACCUGAGAGGGUGAUCGG
rnacentral:rRNA from 1 species